CCACUGCUUCGCAAGCGCGGUUCCGUUCAUAUUAAAUAAAGUUAUAAAAGAUUUCGCUCCUAAGAGCCGAUUUGACAUUUCGCAUAGAAGCCGCGAGAGAGGCUGAGCACGAGUUUUAUUUGUGGCCCACAAAGAGAGCCCGACACAAAAGCGCUGAGUUAAAGUGGCGGGCACUAACCAGUCACUGAUUACAGAGUUCAUCCAAGGCCAUAUAGAGUUAGGUUUUUACGAUGGGCGCUUAAUUAAUUAUCCUGGAUUUCCACUUGCAAGAAAAAUUUCGCAAUGUUUCCGUGAAGAUUUGUGUGCGGUCAUGCGGUCAAGUACAAAUGAUUUACUCGUAUGAUCACAAUUCAAUUUUUUUAUCCCUAUCAAAAUGUUAGGGGUAUUACUGUAACUUAUCUCUACCUUAAGUUACUGUAAUAGCAAAAAAUCCGCCAAGUUAUAUUAUAACGACAAAAUUGACUAAUAGUUUUUUGACAUGCAGUUUGCGGACAAUUUUUAAAUAAUAUAAUGCUUAAUCCAGUUCAAUAUAGCGAUCAGUGCUGAUAACAUAAUAUUGCACUUACAGUAGCUAUAUAAUACAACAAUAGAUUACGUAACUUUGAAAAGCUUGAUAGUCACGUCAUUUAUAACAGUUGCACAGCUAAUCUUGCUGCGUACUGAUUGUGCAUAGAAUGUCUUUCAGGUCACUUGAAAACAAUCAACUUUUAAGCAGAAGUUAAAUAGGUCUUGACAUCUCACAUACGUACUCUAAA